rnacentral:rRNA from 1 species
UACGGAGGGUGCAAGCGUUAAUCGGAAUUACUGGGCGUAAAGCGUGCGCAGGCGGUUUGUUAAGUCUGCUGUGAAAUCCCCGAGCUCAACUUGGGAAUUGCAGUGGAUACUGGCAAGCUAGAGUAUGGUAGAGGAAGGUGGAAUUCCCGGUGUAGCGGUGAAAUGCGCAGAUAUCAGGAGGAACACCGAUGGCGAAGGCAGGUCUCUGGGCAUUAACUGACGCUGAGGAGCGAAAGCAUGGGGAGCGAACAGG